rnacentral:RNase_P_RNA from 1 species
CUGCGCAGGAAGGCAACCGCUGGGUGCCGGAACGAUGCAAAUCGGGAGGGUGCCGAGAGGAAAGUCCGGUCUUCACAGGGCAGCAUGCCGGCUAACGGCCGGGGGCGUGCGUUCAAGCGCAACGCUACGGAAGAGUGCCACAGAAAAAGAUACCGCCGGCCUUCUUUUCGGAGGAGGCAGGUAAGGGUGAAAAGGUGCGGUAAGAGCGCACCGCGGGGCAAGCAAUUGCCACGGCAAGGAAAACCCCAUGCGAAGCAAGACCAAAUAGGGGAGGAGGAGUGGCCCGCUCCGUUAUCACUUCCGGGUAGGUUGCUAGAGCCGGUCAGCGAUGACCGGCCUAGAGGAAUGGUUGCCGCCUUCUUCUUCGGAAGGAGGAACAGAAACCGGCUUAUUCCCUGCGCAGGUUU